rfam:Oryza barthii chromosome 2, whole genome shotgun sequence.
AAAAAGACAAACCCCGUGUCCAACUUUGACUGUCCGUUUUAUAUAAAAUUUUUUUAUAAUUCGUAUUUUCAUUGUUGUUAAAUGAUAAAACAUGAUUAAUAUUUUAUACGUGACUUGUCUUUUUAAUUUUUUUCAUAUUUUUUUCAAAUAAGACGGCCGGUCAAACGUUGGGCUCGAAAACUAGGGUUUGUCUUUCU